UGGGGGAUAUUGCACAAUGGGGGAAACCCUGAUGCAGCAAUGCCGCGUGAGGGAAGAAGGUCUUCGGAUUGUAAACCUAAGUAGUCAGGGACGAAAGAAAUGACGGUACCUGAAGAGUAAGCUCCGGCUAACUACGUGCCAGCAGCCGCGGUAAUACGUAGGGAGCGAGCGUUGUCCGGAUUUACUGGGUGUAAAGGGUGCGUAGGCGGGUUUGCAAGUCAGGCGUGAAAUACCGAGGCUCAACUUCGGGGCUGCGCUUGAAACUGUGAAUCUUGAGUGAAGUAGAGGCAGGCGGAAUUCCUAGUGUAGCGGUGAAAUGCGUAGAUAUUAGGAGGAACACCGAUGGCGAAGGCAAUCCCCUGGACCUGUACUGACGCUCAUGCACGAAAGCGUGGGGAGCAAACA
rnacentral:rRNA from 1 species